rnacentral:rRNA from 1 species
UACGUAGGGUGCAAGCGUUGUCCGGAAUUAUUGGGCGGAAAGAGCGUGUAGGCGGUCCGGUAAGUCCGCUGUGAAAGUCGGGGGCUCAACCCUCGAAUGCCGGUGGAUACUGUCGGGCUAGAGUGCGGAAGAGGCGAGUGGAAUUCCUGGUGUAGCGGUGAAAUGCGCAGAUAUCAGGAGGAACACCUAUUGCGAAGGCAGCUCGCUGGGACGUUACUGACGCUGAGACGCGAAAGCGUGGGGAGCAAACAGG